rnacentral:rRNA from 1 species
GAUGAAUGCUAGCGACAGGCUUAACACAUGCAAGUCGAGGGGCAGCACGAUUAAAGCUUGCUUUAAUUGGUGGCGACCGGCGCACGGGUGAGUAACGCGUAUGCAACCUACCCAUCAGAGUGGGAUAACCCGGCGAAAGUCGGACUAAUACCGCAUAAAACAGGGAUCCCGCAUGGGAUACUUGUUAAAGGAUUACUUGAUGAUGGAUGGGCAUGCGUAACAUUAGUUAGUUGGUGGGGUAACGGCUCACCAAGGCUACGAUGUUUAGGGGGGCUGAGAGGUUAACCCCCCACACUGGAACUGGGACACGGUCCAGACUCGGACGGGAGGCAGCAGUGAGGAAUAUUGGUCAAUGGGCGAAAGCCUGAACCAGCCAUGCGGCGUGCAGGAAGACGGCUCUAUGAGUCGUAAACUGCUUUUAUACGAGGGUAAUUGCGCGCACGUGUGCGUGUUUGAAAGUAUCGUAUGAAUAAGGAUCGGCUAACUCCGUGCCAGCAGCCGCCGUAA